UUGCAUUUUAAAGAUAUCCCUGGAAGAUUCUGACCUCCACACCAAACUUUAGUAACCGCUAGGCCGCGCAUUCAUCCAAGAUGCAUCUGUGGCGUGGACUUGGAGCGUUUAAAACUUGCAACCAUCCCUCCUACAAAGCUCUGAUCAUAGGGAGGAAGAAUGAUCCGCAGACCCCCCUCGUGGGUUCUCUUUAAUUUUGUCGAAUCAAUCUGCGGCCGCUCUGCAUUCCCAUCCCCUGCUGCCCUCUCCAGAGCAGAGGGGUAAUCCGCAGGCCGGGCGCUCGGGGCCCGUCUUCCCCGUCGUGCCCACCAGGUGGCAGGCCAGGCACUCGCAUUUGGGCGGCCGGCUGCGGACUCGGACGUCGCGGGGCUCGGGGAGGGUGCCCGCAGGAGGUGCGGGGGUUCCCGCUGAUGGCCAGGCUAGAGCCGGAGCCGAGGAGCGUGCGUGCUCAGGGGGAGGUGUCAGCUGAGCUCUAUGUGCCAGGCCCACAGCUUGACCCCAGGACACUUUCAGAAGAGUCCAGUUUUGGUGGAAGCCGGACAUGUGUGUAUAUGUAAUGAGGGUCUCAGGAGUGUGCAAGUAAAAUCUAACUGGGUCAGUGAUGGCAGUGAGAAGCUGUGGAUGCUGGGUCUUACCUACACAUUUGAGAGUGAGCAGGAACCUGGGCAGCAAGAGAUAAGCCAAUAUAUCUGCCUGUUGAGCCUACAGUUAAAAAUAAUUAUAGGGAACAUGGUGAUGCUUCAGAAACUGUCAGAUAUAUUUUGUGUGUCUUUGGGAUUAGGAAGUAGGAGUGCUGCCAUCGGGCUCUCUUAGUUGAGAACAAGGAUCCAGAGGAGGUGGUAAGUGCUAAUCAGCUGGGGGAAAUAUGGGAGGGGCGGUGCUAAUUUAACUGCCUGAGGGCUUU
rnacentral:lncRNA from 12 species